rnacentral:tRNA from 1 species
CAGUUUAUAGUUUAAUAAAAAUUUUGAUUUUGGGUAUCAAUGAUAUGGUCCAACCGUUAAUCUGA